CACCCCUGGGGAUGCCACCAGGGGCACCUCCACAGAGAAUCCCUGGAAUUAAAACCCCUCCGGGAAUGCUGGGAAAGCCUCGGAACCUUCCGGAAUCUCCUCCCAAAUCCUGGGAACUGCCCCUCUGGAAAAGGAGCCCCAGGAUGUGGGACCUGAUCUGCAAUUCCCUGCGGAUUCCCACGCUUUUAUCCCAAAAAUUGGAGGAAGAAAUAAAAAAUUCCAGCGGGGUCUCCCCAGGAAUCUUCAGGAUGGGACCAAAA